UCGAAAAGUCUGCCAUGAUUGUGGGCCAGGAAGGCUGUCCUACACUGACCUCCCCAAGCACUUACUCUCCUGACACCCCGUGGUUAGCUGCAUGGUGUUGGAGAAAAAUUUAGAAAAGGGAGGUCCUGUGGACAUCUCCGGGUGAUAAAGAUGCCGUGUGUUCAUGGUUGGGGAGCAGUAUACCUCUCCGGAAGCUGUACAGGCUGCAAGAAACCUCAUUCUAGCUCUUGGUUGCAACCGAGAUUAUGGCAGCGGUUCCAGAUGCUUGAACAGGAAUGGAAUUAAGAGUCCUCAUUGUCUGAGAUACCACCUCACCCCAGUGAGAAUGGCACAUC